UUGAUUUCAUCCGUGAUGCAACGUUAUUCGAGUGAUUGCGUCACACAGGCAAAGCGGUCGAAGACGAAGUAUUAUUCAUCGCGAGCUUCAUCACUCGACAUGUUACAAGGCGCGAACUAAUUAACGGCUCGGCUUACCCUCUCAGUUUGUUUAGUUGUUUUAACAAUUGCGUCAGACGACGACACUGAUCAACAGCGUUACAGUAGACAAUGAUUUUUGUUCUUUUUUCACCACAAACAGCGGCGGCGAACCCGGAAGACCUUGCCGAAUCUCUCUGGAGCGCAAAAAGCGAGAUAGGAAUGGCAGGCCGCGAACUGGGAAAAGCAAACAAGAAGCUAGCUGCUGCGCAGAGCGUUAAGAAACGCAUGCCCACCAAGCUCAUGCUCGGUCAGUUCCCCGGCGAAGGUUUCAGGCACCAGGCCUGAUCACCGCGGGGUGUGCGACCGCCGGCCGCUCUCACUCGGCGCAAAUCGCAAUUUUGUUGACCGCGCGCGCGUUGUUAACAACGCCCUGCGGUCUUGAUAGCGCGCGAGCCACCGAAACCAGACACCGACGGCACCAACUCGAAGCGGCAGCUGCUCGCUGGCUGUUGGAGCCGGAUCGGCCCGAGUGGGACCCGGCGCAGGGCACAGUGCGGUCGGCUUUCCCUGACCGUGGCUUCAUUUGGACAGCUGCUCGCACCCGCCUUUUAGGUUUAAGCCGAACUCUUUCGUACAUAGUACGCCGCAUGAAGACCGUUUGGGUAGCGCAGUAGUUAUGUCUGCUUGACUGUGAAGUGCUGUUUACAGGCAUCUGUAAACUGUUCGAGCCGUCUCGUUGCCUUCGAAAGGUGGUGCGUCAGUGCCGAUUCUGUGCGAGUGACUGUGCUUCUCCGAGGGAGGUGUUGCGCCUGCGGACAAGUGCGCAACGAGUGUUGUGGCACCCUCCGGGAGGACGCCACGCCGUGUGAACCUGGCGUCGAGGCUUCCUGACGUUAUCGCCCUGGUCUUCGGUUCAUCGUAGUCGUGGCAGCACCCGGAACCUUACUGCAAUUCAAACGGUGACAGUCAGCGACAAGACCCAUCCGAACCAUGACGCUGCCGGACUCUCGGGCCUGUUGGCCCGUGGCCAUCUCUGCGGCCAUCUACGUGUUCGUGGCAAUGAUGCUAAUCAAGUCUGAGUCUGUCAUCUACAUUGGCUUUAUGGACAUGCUGAAGGUUAACAGACAGGACGCCUCCUGGCCCCUUACCGUGGCUAUCAUCGUGUCACAGUUGGCAGGCCCCGUGUACGGCAUACUGGGCAUGUGGAUGUCCGAGCGUGCCAUGCUGGUGUGCGGCGCCCUGCUGUGCGCGCUGCCGGUGAUGAUCUGCUCGCUGGCCAACAGCCUCGCACUCGUCGUCUUGCUGUACGGCGUGAUUUACGGCCUUGGUGUGGCGUGUGAAGAAGUGCUCCCCUUCACCGUGGUGGCCCGCCAUUUCGUGAGGUAUCGGGGCACCGCCAUGAGCUUGCUCUUCGUCGUGACAGCGAUAUCGGGCUUCGUGUCCCCUCUCAUCACUGAGGCCUUGCGCCAGGCGCUAGAUUUCCGGGUCGCUCUGCUGGUGCUCGGAGCCCUGCAGCUCAACAUGCUGUUCGGCUGCAUCUUCGUCAACCGUGUGCCGCCGUCCAGAGAGCCCGACUGCGACCAGGAUGACGACCACAGCACGCAGCCCGUCACCAGCCGGAUUCGCAGGAGCAGCUUUCAGACUGCUUCGUUCGCGCACUCCUGCUCCAAGGACCUCGUCACUUCUUUUGCGAUCGGCGCCGAACCAGCCCUUGGCGAUCAGCAGUCGGCCGAGUCGAAGCCUUUGCUUGGAAAGAAUCGCGGAGCCGGCAGCCGACUCAAGCGCAAACUUCGGUCGCUGUUUACCGUAGCGUUCGCACACAUCAGUGCCUCCCGCGCUCUCUCCGUGCUCGUGCUGGCGUCGUUCCUGCUAACUGCCGUCGAUUUCGGCAAGGACAACGGGCUGGAGGGCUACGAGGCCGUCGCCCUCGUCACCGCUGUCGCGCUCGGCGACCUGGUGUCCCGCAUAGGCACGGGCCUCCUGCUGGAUUUCAAGUUGAUGAGCGCAGACUGCCUGAUGAUGUGGGGAUUCGGCGUCCAGGCCGCGGCGCUGGCCACCACUGCGCUGGUCAAGCAGUACUGGCUGUUGCUGGUCAGCUGCUUCAUAGUAGGCAUGUCCGGUGGCGGUCGCAUCUUCGCCAGCACCGUCAUGGUCUCCGAACGGGUCGACCAAGAUUCGCUGUCCCUCAGUCUUGGGGUGAUGAACUUCAUCGCGGGCGUCGUGUGCCUCGCGAGGCCACCACUCAUCGGUUACGUGCGAGACGUGCUUGGUUGCUACGACCCGCUGUACAUCGCUUUCGCCAUCGCCAACGCCAUCUUCACAGUCACGUGGGCGGCCAGCCUGUGCUGCGAGACGCGCCGUCGCAGUAUUGACGAUAGACAAGGCGCCAUCCCGUCAGCGCAAGAAAGGCACCGUGUGGAAGACUGAGCGACAUCCAAAGGCGCCGAGAUUCGUUGUGAUAUAGGAAGAUUAUCUUGAUUUUUCUAUGUGCAACCAGUUGCGAGGAGCCUCACGUGCAUGAUCGCGCGAGCGAACGCUGUUGGUUUGCUAUGGCUGGCUGUUGGUGGGCUAUCAACGAGGCUAUGGGGGCAUCUUGAAGAUGCUUCAAGCCGCUGUUUUUUUUUCCAAAAUUGUUUCUAAGAAAACAGAAGUCUUAUAGUAGGUCAAACCAAGCAGGUAUACUUCCGCGAAUGAACACCCCUUGCUAAAGGGCCUCAUGAGAGGCAACGCAGGGCUAAUUAUAAGCUUCGAGCCGGAAGCCUACUCACUGUAGACUGACACCCAGGUUCAUUGUUUCCAAAGCAAAGAAAUGGCAGCCAACAAACUCGUACGACACUCCGUCACCUAGAGUCAUCUAUUCGAGUAGUGGAAAUGGUACACCAGACCUGUGACGCCUCUUCUGGUUUUGUCAAGCACUGAACCGCAUCAGUAACAAGCCCAAAGGCAGGCGUUACACAUUGUAGUCCCGUGCUGUUCAUUUGCCUCUCUAGCGCGGUUUGCCAGAGAACCAAACCUCGUUACGUUUUCUAGUCGUCCCCUUGCUAUCUGCUAUCUAGGGGGCUUUUCCUGUGCACUCUGUUUAAUGACAUGAUUCCACUCGGACGGAAAUUUACUCUGUCAAGCACGGCGUGACGAAAAUGCUGAUGCCAAAAUCACCGCGGCCUACUCGGAAACAUUCCCGUUACAUUCUAUGCCAGUCGAGCAAUGCCGAAUGACGCCAUGCAUCGUAGUGCACAGACCUUGUGCUAUCCCGGAGGCGUACGCACAGGCCUACUACCGCUCUGCUCCGUCGAGGAGCGCUCGUGCCGAGAGUGAAAGUGAGAGUGAGAAUGAGAGCGAGGGUGACGCGGCGUCGUGGCGAUGCUGUCUCCUCUCGCGCCACUCUCGGUGCGUUGCUGCGGCAGCAGGUGUUCCCUUUUGCCCGCUCUGCUCUGUCAAGGAGCAACUCGUCACGUGGCGUCGCAGCUAAUGGCGUUGCGAGUUCGGGUGCUGUUUCAUUGCUCCAGACGACAGACGCCGGUUUUUUUUCGUUCGAUGGGCCAUUUCGCGCUUUCGCAUAAAAAAAAAAUAAAGGAAAAAGCAAAGAGUUGCUGCAAUAUGAAGAAUGAGAACAAUUUGUUUAAGUUGAAAGGGGGGGGGGAUGCAGUGAAGGGGUGGCGACAUGCGUCGCCAGGAAAGAUAUUCUGAAAUAACCAAGCUACAGAGCCGCACUAUAAGGUGAAACUUCCAAGGAAUUCAGGAAAGAGAGCGAUAGCUGCAGCUGCGGUCAUUUGAGGUCUAUCUCUCGGCGGGGGGCUAUAAGUGCGCGUGCCGCUUGGACGUUUAUACUUUGCCUGCUUUGCUACAGUGUUGCAGUGCCACAUCGCAACAACUGCAUGAAUUAGGGACACGCGCAUUUAGCGUAACGAUCCGUAACAAACGCGUGCGCACGCCACAGGGGAAAUGCCCACGCGAGGCGCCGGAAUGGUGCGGAUGUAGCGCGAACCAGCAACGUUUCCGCGGCAUAGGCGCACGUAAUGCCCAUUGUGGCUGGGAGGCGGAAGUAAGGUGAGCAAAUAGGCUUAUCUCACGACGUGAACAAGCAAGGUGCUUCAGGGGAAGGGUGUGUCGUGUGAGAGGGAAGAGGAAGAGAUGCAAAGCACAAGAACACUGAGGCGGAAACAUUCGUCGCGCGCGCCGGCAAAGUUGCCUGUCGUGAAACGAUGAUUGCUCCACGCGCUGGUGGUACAGAUUUCGGGAAAGGAACAGAAAACAGAAGGAAAGAGGCAAACAGGACAGCAGUCAGGGAGAGAGAGCUGGAUGCGGCUACCUGGGUUCGGAGACCUGCAGAAAGCGAGGGGUGGGGUAGGACAAUAGUUGAGGCAUUCUUCGCGGGUAAGGACAGUGGGAGUAGGCUCUUGAGAACCUGCCAGUGCUGGUAGGGGGUCGCAUCAGUCGUUUGUGCGUUGCCGACAACACGCAACACAAAUUGCACCUCGUUCUCUUCGGGACACCGAAGGGUGCCGUCAUCGUAGGUGGGACGCCCACUGCGUGCGUUAUUUUUAUCUCGAAAACCUUGAAAGAAGUGCGCGACACCGGGCUCUCGUGAAGGGGGAUGUGGCGAGCGGAAUACGUGCCCAGAAAAAGCAGACACUGCCGUUACUUCUUGUCAUCCCUACUUCCCCGUCUCGUCUUUUUCACCUCCGCAGACCAUGCUCUCCGCCUAUAGUGCCACCCUUUUCGAUCCACGUUUUUUUUCUUUCUCCCCUGCGCGUGCCGUUGCCUAUCCUGCUCACCUUCUUCUGCAUUGCAGCGCAACCCUUCUCCGCCUCCUCCUACAGUCGUGCUUUACCUUCCCCUUUCCGCCCUUAUAGCAUCCCUAUGUUGUUCUAUUUGUUCUUCUUCCGCAAAUAAAGGGGGAGCUGAAGUAGUGGCAAAGCACGAUGGAUUCGGGAUGCUGAGUGCGUAUUUUAUCUGACAGGAGAAAAACGCAAGGGGGGGGGGGUGGCGCUAACUCAGCCUCCCCGUUUUCCCUGCCGCGUUUAGUUCCUUUUUCUUCCCGGCACAUUUCGUGACUGCCGCAUUGCACACGCAUGCCCGCGCUUGUUCAUGCGCGGUGACGCCUUACCCUGUAUUGUACGUGUGCUGAGGGGACGGCGACGGCAUUGUCUUUCAUUUUCUUUUUUUCUGUCUCUCCUCGACUCGUUCGCGGUGUUUAUGAUAGCCGCGGAGAAUACGUCUUGUUCCGGCCACCACUAGCGUAAGAGGACGGUGGGUUGCGUAC